GAGCGGUAGCACAGGAGAGCUUGCUCUCUGGGUGACGAGCGGCGGACGGGUGAGUAAUGUCUGGGAAACUGCCUGAUGGAGGGGGAUAACUACUGGAAACGGUAGCUAAUACCGCAUAACGUCGCAAGACCAAAGAGGGGGACCUUCGGGCCUCUUGCCAUCAGAUGUGCCCAGAUGGGAUUAGCUAGUAGGUGGGGUAAUGGCUCACCUAGGCGACGAUCCCUAGCUGGUCUGAGAGGAUGACCAGCCACACUGGAACUGAGACACGGUCCAGACUCCUACGGGAGGCAGCAGUGGGGAAUAUUGCACAAUGGGCGCAAGCCUGAUGCAGCCAUGCCGCGUGUAUGAAGAAGGCCUUCGGGUUGUAAAGUACUUUCAGCGGGGAGGAAGGUGUUGAGGUUAAUAACCUCAGCAAUUGACGUUACCCGCAGAAGAAGCACCGGCUAACUCCGUG
rnacentral:rRNA from 1 species